AACGCACAUUGCGCCCGCGGGUAUUCCUGCGGGCAUGUCUGUUUGAGAACCUGGACGUGCCUCACCUCAAGAUUGAUUCUUGACCUUUGUUGGUUGGGGAUCUCUCGCGAGGUGGAUCUGGGCCCUUCUCCUGACCUUUCAAGGAGUGGCCUCAAAUGAAGUUCGAGUUCAAUGCUGAUUGCAGCACCCGUGAACACCGCUGACCGCAGACGUGAUCAAGUACCUUCACUGGUUUCCCAUUCGUGUCGAUGGUCUCAGUUGUUUGCGGCUAAGUCUCUCAGUUGCGCAUCUUCAGUGGUGCGCGUGAAACGUCAUUGAACCGUCAUGCCUUCUAAUUGCCAGGUCUGUUUUGACAAACCUGAACAUAUGGUCUCAAAUCAGGCAAGAUUACCCGCUGAACUUAA
rnacentral:misc_RNA from 1 species